GAACCGUCCAAACGUUAUUCGGGAAUCACUGGGCUUAAAGGGUGCGUAGGCGGCCUAGCAAGUUGGGGUGUGAAAUCCCUCGGGCUCAACCGAGGAACUGCGCCCAAAACUGCUAGGCUUGAGGGAGAUAGAGGUGAGCGGAACUUAGGGUGGAGCGGUGAAAUGCGUUGAUAUCCUAAGGAACACCAGUGGCGAAGGCGGCUCACUGGAUCUCUUCUGACGCUGAGGCACGAAAGCCAGGGUAGCGAACGGGAUUAGAUACCCCGGUAGUCCUGGCUGUAAACGAUGAGCACUGGGUUGGAGGCCCCUCCAUAGGCUUCCGGCCGAAGCGAAAGUGUUAAGUGCUCCGCCUGGGGAGUAUGGUCGCAAAGGCUG
rnacentral:rRNA from 1 species